GACGAACGCUGGCGGCGUGCUUAACACAUGCAAGUCGAACGAUGAAGCCGGAGCUUGCUCUGGUGAAUUAGUGGCGAACGGGUGAGUAACACGUGAGUAACCUGCCCUUGACUCUGGGAUAACUGCGGGAAACUGUAGCUAAUACCGGAUACGACCCUCGGAGGCAUCUCCUGGGGGUGGAAAGAAUUUCGGUCAAGGAUGGACUCGCGGCCUAUCAGCUAGUUGGUGAGGUAAAGGCUCACCAAGGCGACGACGGGUAGCCGGCCUGAGAGGGGGACCGGCCACACUGGGACUGAGACACGGCCCAGACUCCUACGGGAGGCAGCGGUGGGGAAUAUUGCACAAUGGGCGCAAGCCUGAUGCAGCAACGCCGCGUGAGGGAUGACGGCCUUCGGGUUGUAAACCUCUUUUAGCAGGGAAGAAGCGAAAGUGACGGUACCUGCAGAAAAAGCACCGGCUAACUACGUGCCAGCCGCCGCAGUAA
rnacentral:rRNA from 1 species